CCCUGGCUCAGGAUGAACGCUGGCGGCGUGCCUAAUACAUGCAAGUCGAGCGAAUGGAUUAAGAGCUUGCUCUUAUGAAGUUAGCGGCGGACGGGUGAGUAACACGUGGGUAACCUACCCAUAAGACUGGGAUAACUCCGGGAAACCGGGGCUAAUACCGGAUAAUAUUUUGAACUGCAUAGUUCGAAAUUGAAAGGCGGCUUCGGCUGUCACUUAUGGAUGGACCCGCGUCGCAUUAGCUAGUUGGUGAGGUAACGGCUCACCAAGGCAACGAUGCGUAGCCGACCUGAGAGGGUGAUCGGCCACACUGGGACUGAGACACGGCCCAGACUCCUACGGGAGGCAGCAGUAGGGAAUCUUCCGCAAUGGACGAAAGUCUGACGGAGCAACGCCGCGUGAGUGAUGAAGGCUUUCGGGUCGUAAAACUCUGUUGUUAGGGAAGAACAAGUGCUAGUUGAAUAAGCUGGCACCUUGACGGUACCUAACCAGAAAGCCA
rnacentral:rRNA from 1 species